GACGAACGCUGGCGGCGUGCUUAACACAUGCAAGUCGAACGGAAAGGCCCUGCUUUUGUGGGGUGCUCGAGUGGCGAACGGGUGAGUAACACGUGAGUAACCUGCCCUUGACUUUGGGAUAACUUCAGGAAACUGGGGCUAAUACCGGAUAGGAGCUCCUGCUGCAUGGUGGGGGUUGGAAAGUUUCGGCGGUUGGGGAUGGACUCGCGGCUUAUCAGCUUGUUGGUGGGGUAGUGGCUUACCAAGGCUUUGACGGGUAGCCGGCCUGAGAGGGUGACCGGCAACAUGGGGACUGAGAUACGGCCCAGACUCCUACGGGAGGCAGCAGUGGGGAAGAUUGCACAAUGGGCGGAAGCCUGAUGCAGCAACGCCGCGUGCGGGAUGACGGCCUUCGGGUGGUAAACCGCUUUCGCCUGUGACGAAGCGUGAGUGACGGGAAUGGGUAAAGAAGCACCGGCGAACUACGU
rnacentral:rRNA from 1 species